CUUGCCUUGCUGGAGAAGGGGCUCAAGGCACAGGACUUGCCUUGGACUUGCCUCGGACUUACCUAGGAGGCUUGUAGGAGGCUCUUUGUCUACUCCUCUAUCCUCAUCCAACAAAUGGUUGUUCCAGAAAAAAUGCAGCAACACCUGAACUCUUCUAAAGAAAAAGAAGACAAAAUGAUCUAGUGCAUCUCUGCCAUCCUGUUGAAGAUCCUAUUUGAAAAAAGGGAGACACAGAGAAAGGUUUUUUUUUUAAAGUGAUAGAAUAAUCCAAAGUUAAAAAUUCAACACAAUGGAAAAUAUUAAUUCAAUCCAUGCUGCAAACAA
rnacentral:antisense_RNA from 1 species